GACGGACGUUGGCGGCGUGCUUAAUACAUGCAAGUCAACUGAAGCAGUGGUAGCAAUAUCGCUGUGGAGGUGGCGCACGGGUGAGUAACACGUAGGUAAUCUGCCUUCAGGUCUGGCAUAACUCCGGGAAACCGGGGCUAAUAGCAGAUGAUGCAGCGGCUCGACAUCGAGACAGUUGUUAAAGCUAUGGCGCCUGAAGAUGAGCCUGCGUCUGAUUAGCUAGUUGGCGGGGUAACGGCCCACCAAGGCAACGAUCAGUAGCUGGUCUGAGAGGAUGAUCAGCCACACUGGAACUGAGACACGGUCCAGACUCCUACGGGAGGCAGCAGUAAGGAAUAUUGCUCAAUGGGAGAAAUCCUGAAGCAGCAACGCCGCGUGAGGGACGAAGGGCUUUUGCUUGUAAACCUCUGUAGUGAGAGAAAAAAAUCCCAAUCUUUGGGACAUGAUGGUAGCUCAAAAGUAAGCCCCGGCUAACUACGUG
rnacentral:rRNA from 1 species